ensembl:lncRNA
CCAGUAACUGGUGCUAACUAAAUGCUAGCUAACUGAACUGUGGAGACAUCAGACAUGAAAAGAGGCGACAGGCAACACUAUUUAAUUGUUGGUCGAGACCACUUGUAAAAAAGAAAAAAAGUCCGACCCAAAGGAGGUACAAGAGGUUUGCAGAGCAGGUGAUCGAAGAGGGACACAAGAAAGCAGAGAUGAGGAGAGAGGAGGCAAAAGAGGAGGUGCAGAAGAGAAUGAAGGUGGUGACAGAGGAGGUGCAGAGCUUGAGCAGGAGAAAGGAGGAGGUGACAGUGUGUCAGAUGAGCAAAGAGAGAAAGGCUGCACAUGGAUGAACAGGUGUUGUGCUGGACCAGAGGUCUGCAACCUUUAACACCCAAAGAGCAUUUGGACGCGAUUUCCACGCAAAAGAAAACACUGGGAGCCACAAAUACUUUUUAACAUCUAAAAUGAAGAUAACACUGUAUAUAUUGUUUUUUUACCUUUAAGCUUUGUGUUAACAACUAAGGUGUGUUUCUUAAAUCCAUGAAGUGCUGCAGAGAAAAU